GUUGUACUCCCUCUGUCCGAAAAAACUUGUCCCAAGCUUGUCCCUUAAAUGGAUAUAUCUAGCCCCAAAUUAGUUCUAGAUACAUUCAGUUGAGAGACAAGUUUUUUCGGACGGAGGGAGUAGUUA
rfam:Triticum aestivum genome assembly, contig: Triticum_aestivum_CS42_TGACv1_scaffold_147909_2BS